GAGAAUCUAAUCUGAGAGGUGGUAGGUGACGGAUGGGGUCCCCAGCUGCCAAAGGUCGCACGGCGGGAAGGAGCUGGCCGAAGCACUGACUUGGAAGUCAGACCUCAUUUCCAGGGUCACAUCGCCAGUCGUGGCCUUGCGCGGAUUACCUAACAUCAAGUCUCAAUUUCUUCACCUGACAAUCACCUCCUAGGAUUGCUGUAAAAAAUAAUAAUAAUAAUGCAUUACAGUUCUUGGCCCAGUGCCUGGCUCAUGGUGAGUUCUCAGUAAAUAACCAUGACCAGCACGUUGGGAGGCUGAGACAGGAGGAUCUCCUGAGCCCAGGAGUUCGAGACCAGCCUGGGCAACAUAGCCAGAUCCCCGUCUCUACAAAAAAAAUUAAAAAUAAUUAGAUAGGAGUGGUGGCAAGCGCCUGUGGUCCCCGCUACUUGGGAGGCUGAGUCUGGAGGAUCUCUGGAGCCCAGGAGGUCGAGGUGCAGUGAGCCGAGAUCGUGCCACUGCACUCCCAGCCUGGGCAACAGAGCAAGACCCUGUCUCAAAAAAAUAAAGUUGGUAACUAUGAGGGUGCUAAGGAAGAUGCCCACCCAAUUCACUGUGCUUUCUACUUCUCCCGCUGGAAAGCCUUGCUCUGGAGGAAGGCAGCUGCAGAGGAAGAUCCACAGAACCCCAAUCUUGGAUGGCUACUCGUGUCCCUCCAAUCUCCAGGCUCUCCUCCCUCUGGUUCACACUGCACAUUGCUUCACUAACCUGCUGGCUGCCUCACCAGCAACCGCGUUACCUUCGGACUGAACAGAGAUUUCAAGGUACUCCAUUUUGACCCCACCCUACCUCAUUCUCCUCUAUCUCCCGAACAAACAAACCUGUAGCCCAGACACUUUUUACUUCCAGGCCUUUACGUUGUACCCUUGACUGUCUUUGCCAACCUCCCACUGCAAGGGUUCACUCAUAUUUCUCCAAGGUUUGACUUCCUAUGCCCUGCUGAGGGCAGGGACCAGGUAGUGACUUAUUCAACUUGUCUCCUUCACAGCCUCCAGCACAAACCUGGGUGCACAGUAGGUACCCGGGAAGUGCUACUGAACUCAAGAGUUUGCAGGUUAAGUUGGCCAACCAUGAGGACCAAGUGUUUCCUUUUACCACGUAGGAAAUUAGAAGACAGAGGUAUGCCUCAGGUUUGCAACUGAGGGCAGCUGCAGUGUGAGAAAGGCCUGUUUAGUAUGUUGGAAAUAUUUUUUUUCUUUUUUUUUUUUCUUUUUGGAGACAGAGUCUUGCUCUGUCUCCCAGGCUGGAGUGCAAUGGCGCAAUCUUAGCUCACUGCAACCUCUGCCUCCCAAGUUCAAGCGAUUCUUGUACCUCAGCCUCCCAAGUAGCUAGGAUUACAGAUGUACGACACCAUGCCCGCUAAUUUUUGUAUUUUUAGUAGAAAUGGGGUUUCACCAUGUUGGCCAGGCUGGUCUUGAACUCCUGACCUCAAGUGAUCUGCCCACCUCGGCCUCCCAAGGUGCUGGGAUUACAGGUGUGAGCCACUGCACCUGGCCAUGUUGGAAAUAUGUAACGAUGAUGGGAGGAGUGGGGGAAAGAAGCCAGCAGGCAUAGAAGGGGCAAGAAAGCCUAACAGAACUGUGUUGUUUUGGUGCCAUUUUCCCUUCUGGAUGAUCCAUUAUACUCAUUCAACAUUAUGACUCAGUUAAUUUCCAUAAAGGCUUCUUGAGGCCAGAUGCAGUGACUCAUACCUGUAACCCCAGUGCUUUGGGAGGCUGAGGUGGGAGGAUCACUUGAAGCCAGGACUUCAAGACCAGCCUGGGCAACACAGCAAGAUCUCGUUACUACAAAAAGAUAAAAAAUAAAACCAAUAAUUAGCCAGGCAUGGUAGUGCGCACCUAUAGUCCCAGCUACUCAGGAGGCUAAGGUGAGUGGAUUACUGGAGCCCAGGAGUUUGAAGCUACAGUGAGCUAUGAUUAUGUCACUGCACUCCAGCCUGGGCAAUAGACCGAGACCCUGUUACGAUUUGUUGAGCAUUUACUUUGUGCCAGGCAUGUGCCGGGUGCUACCAAGUGCACAAAGCUGAAUGAGACUCAGUUCCAAGGCACUCCAGCAUCAUCUAAAGGAAGUCCUGAUUACUGUGAUGCUUUGGGUGUUUUGAGGAGAGAGCGAUUUCUGUAAGUUGGUGGAUUUUUGUGAAGUAGGAGGGGCUCAGCUGGGCCCUGAAGGAUAUAUCAGAUUUGACAGAAACAGGAGGAGACAUAUGAGAAGAGCAUUUCAGGAGAGAAGAGGAGAACAGCCUACGCAAAGAUAUGGGGACCAGAGAGUCGUGGCGUUUCCAGGUUUCACAUACCCCAUUGUGGCUGGAAUGUAGGAUGCUUUAGGAGGCCACUGAGAAUGAGUGGUAGAAAUAAGACAGAAAUAAGACAGGCUGCGCUCAGACCAUGAACACCAGGCUAAGGAGCCAGCCUUCAGAGAACACCAGGCUGAGACCAGGGGAGCCAGCCUUCAGAGAACUUUGAGCAGUGACCUGCUUAGGCUGUUCUCAAAUUGCAAGGGAGGUAUGAGAAGAAGGAGUCCAGCAGCCAACAGCUUGGCAGGCAGGUCACAGCUAGAUGCCUUCAUUCAUUUUCACCUGGGGAUUGUCUGCCUUCUGCCCCAAUCUGCCUACCUCUUCCCCAUCUUGGAGUCUCUUCUAAGUUGGUACUGAAUUAAAUAAGAGGGUAUACACUUUCCUCUUGAUUAUCCUACCUGUCCAAUGUUCUACUACACGCCAGCUGGACAAAGUCAUAGAUUUCAGUUCAAAACUGACCUGGGGAGGUGGGGCACAGCGUCUCACACCUGUAAUCCCAACACUUCGAGAGGCCAAGGCUAGAGGAUCACUUGAGCCCAGGAGUUCAAGACCAGCCUGGGCAACAUACUGAGAUUCUGUCUCUAUAAAACAAACUUCAAAAAUUAGCUGAGUGUGGUGGCGUCCACCUGUAGUCCCAGCUACUAGGGAGGCUGAGGUGGGAGGAUUGCUGGAGCCCAGGAGUUCGAGGCUGCAGUGAGCUAUGAUUGCACCACUGCACUCCAGCCUCAGCAACAGAGUGGGACCCUGUCUUUAAAAACAAACAAACAAACAAACAACUCAGCCUGGGAGGAAGUUUUUCAGCUCUAGUUCCCCCUCCUCUCCAACACUCACAUUUUUAGUGCUGCUCCCCCAAUAAAGAAAACAAGGCAUAAAACCUAGCUGGACAGCCUCCCCAGCUGAGUAUGAAACAAAGCAUAUCUUCCACCCAUGGAAAGGAUUAGAGGACAAAGAGGGUGGGGAAGUACCUGUGACCUCAUGUGUUUGAGUUUCUGUGAGACACAAAUAGACUUUGGUGAAAGCAGAUGUGGUAGUUUGGAGGCAGGCACAGCUGCCUCACCACCCAGGAGAAAUCCAGACCACUCUCAUCAGACACUGACCACUGGCAGGGGUUAGCUCAAAGGAGUGGGGGCUUCCCAAGGCAGGAACUGGAAAUUUUUCAGAGAAGGAAGAGGCCGGAGCCCCAGCACCAGGUGUGCCUUGCUGCCUCCAGCUGUUUGGUGGCUGUUUUUUCCCCUCCACCAGCCCAGAGCACGUUGUUCCCAUGACUCUGCCCAGGAGUCACCCUCUGUCUUCUCCCAAUUUUCCAGACCCAGAAUCCAGGCUGGGGGAUGCACAGGGACAACAACAAGGGCAGUGACAAGGCAGGCACCCUGCAGGCCCCUGGCUCCCCACUGGCCCUGGGAAGACUCCACCGUGGCCGCUCCUCCCCACUCCCAAAGGCCAGGCUAUGCUGGCCGGCUGAACCCGCGCAGGGUCACUGAGUUCCAGGAGUGUUUGUAAAUACCUCCCGCAGCCAGGGUGCGGCAGAACAGGAAGGCUGCUCCUUCCUCCCAUCCUGCCCUGCCUCCAGCUUGGACUGAAAGAGGAAGAGUUUCAAUCAACCCUGAGCACAUGGACAAGCCUGGCAGGUUAGACUGGACAGAAGGACCCUCACUCCAGUGACAAGUGUCCUAACAGAACAAGGCAGAGCGAGACUACACAAACAGGAGGAGAAAGACCUGAGAAGGAGGAGGCAGAGAUGAGACUGAUGCAUCCACAAACCAAGGAAUGCCCAAGGCCACCAGAAGCCAGAGGACACGAGUGACAACACCUCCCUAGAGCCUCUGGACAGAGUUCAACCCUGCUGACACCUUCAUUCUGGACUUUCAACCUCCAGAGCUGACAGUGAGAGAAUAAAUAUCUGUUGCCUUUUUUUUUUUUUUUUUUUUUCAGAUGGAGUCUCUCUUUGUCACCCAGGCUGCAGUGCAAUGGCACAAUCUCAGCUCACUACAAUCUCCGUCUCCCAGGUUCAAGCAAUUCUCCUGCCUCAGCCUCCCAAGUAGGUGGGAUUACAGGUGCCCGCCACCAUGCCUAGCUGAUUUUUGUAUUUUUAGUAGAGACAGGGGUUUCACCAUGUUGGCCAGGUUGGUCUUGAACUCCUGACUUCAGGUGAUCUUCCUGCCUUGGCCUCCCAAAGUCCUGGGAUUACAGGUGUGAGCCACUGCGCCCGGCCAUCUGUUGUCUUAAGCCACCAAGUUAGUGGUAAUUUGUGACAGCAGCCACAGGAAGCGAAUACAGGGGUAUGGGGAAUGAAAUCGCUCUAAAUUCUCCUCUGUCUUUCAGUGCAUAGACAUAAGUGUGCACCCACACCCAAGAAUGGAAUUGCUGGAUCACAGGGUGGGUGUAUGUUCAGCACUAAGAGAUAUUGCUAAACAAUUUUCUAAAGAGGUUAUAGCAAUUUAUACUCCCACCAAUGUUUGAGAUCCAGUUUCUCCACAUGGUUGUCAGCCUCAGUGCUAUGGUUUGAAUAUUUGACCCCUCCAAACCUCAUGUUGAAAUGUGAUCCCCAGUGUCAGAGGUGGGACCUAAUAGGAGGUGUUUGGGUCAUGGGGGCGGAUCCCUCAAGACUUCAUGACAGCUUGGUGCAGUCUUGGAAGUAGUGAGUAAGUUCUCGUUCUGUAAGUUCCUGUGAGGGCUGAUUGCGUUUUUUUUCGUUUCGUUUGUUGUUUGUUUGUUUUUCUUCGAGACGGAGUCUUGCUCUGUCACCCAGGCUGGAGUGCAGUGGCACCAUCUCGGCUCACUGCAACCUCCGCCUCCCAGGUUCAAGCAAUUCUCCUGCCUCAGCCUCCCAAGUAGCUGGGAUUACAGGCUCCUGCCACCAUGCACAGCUAAUUUUUGUAUUUUUAGUAGAGACGGGGUUUCGCCAUGUUGGCCAGGCUGGUCUUGAGCUGCUGGCCUCAAGUGACCCACCCGCCUCCGCCUCCCAGAGUGCUGGGAUUACAGGCAUGAGCCACCGCGUCCAGCCUGGGCUGGUUAUUAAAAAAAACAGACUGCUACCUCCCCUCUCUCUCUUGCUUUCUCUCUCACCCUAUGGUCUCUGCACACGCAGGCUUCCGUUUGCCUUCUGCCAUGAGUGGAAGCAGGUUGAGGCCCCCAUCAGAAGUAGAUGUUGGUGCCAUGCUUCUUGUAUGGCCAGAAGAACCAGCAGCCAAAUGAACCUCUUUUCUUUAUAAAUUACCCAGCCUUGGGUAUUCCUUAUAGUAACACAAGCAGAUGAAGACAUUUAGUAUUGUCUUUUGCAUUUCACCCUUCUGGCGGCUGUGCAAUAGUUUUAAUUUUUAUUUCCCUGGUGACUAAUGAGGCUGUAUGCUUUUUCUUAAGCUUUUUCACCAUUUGGAUAUGGUUUUCUCGUGAUGGGCCUACUCAUAUCUUUGGCCCAUUUUUCUUCUG
rnacentral:lncRNA from 1 species